GCGUCCUUGCACAGAAUUGGUAAUGUAGCGAGCUUUUAACUCGUCACCCGUUAGGGUAUUGUAGGUUCAAGUCCUACAGGGCGCA
rnacentral:tRNA from 2 species